rnacentral:rRNA from 1 species
GACGAACGCUGGCGGCGUGCUUAACACAUGCAAGUCGAACGGGCUCUGUCUGGCUGUGUGCUGGGUGGGGUUAGUGGCGAACGGGUGAGUAAUACGUGAGUAACCUGCCCUCUUCUUUGGGAUAAGCCUUGGAAACGGGGUCUAAUACUGGAUAUUCCUGUCUGGUCGCAUGGCUGGGUGGGGAAAGUUUUUUUCGGUGGGGGAUGGGCUCGCGGCCUAUCAGCUUGUUGGUGGGGUGAUGGUCUACCAAGGCGUCGACGGGUAGCCGGCCUGAGAGGGUGACCGGCCACACUGGGACUGAGAUACGGCCCAGACUCCUACGGGAGGCAGCAGUGGGGGAUAUUGCACAAUGGGCGCAAGCCUGAUGCAGCGACGCCGCGUGGGGGAUGACGGCUUUCGGGUUGUAAACCUCUUUCGUCGGGGGACAAGGCUCUGCUUGGUGGUGGGGUUGAGGGUACCCGGUGAAGAAGCGCCGGCUAACUACGUG